rnacentral:lncRNA from 1 species
GAAUCCCCACGGAAACAAGGCUGUCUCAGUCGAUGGUUCCUGGUGGUCAGCAAUACCUACUAAACCCACAGUGUACAAAGAAAGGAGACAGAACUCUAAGUAAAUAAGAAACUGAGCACCUGAUGAGCCCUUUCUCCCAGGGCCAAACAGAAGAAUUUGGCUCCCAGCUCUGCUGCUGGCUUAGGAUGACCCUGGCUCCAAUAUUUAGAAUUUCAAAGCACCAUCCCCUCUAUAAUGUAAAGACAGGGGAUCUGUCACCUCAGCUUCCCCUUCUGGGACCACCCCUGGGGGCACAAAGAGGGUGUAGUACAGAAGGAUGUCCUUACCAGACAUUGUGAGCAAACAGGUGAGGAGAAGGUGCCUGAGGCCAUCUAUUAUUUAUAUAAAGGCCAAGGCUGGACCCUAACAUAAAUUUAACUGUGAGACCAGCUGGUUGGGCCUUUGGGGUGGGGGGCCGGACCCCAGAUUGUCUCCCUUUCUGUUACAAAUUUUGUUAUGCUGUUGUUCAAUUCCAGGCGGGGGAACAUGGGAUCUUACAAGAUGUCCCAUUUUCGAAAGAGAAAAGAAUUUUGGAUUUUUGAGGGAUAGAUUUCCCCUACCCCAUUGUGGGCCUGGCAGAACUCUUAAGAAAGGCCUUCCUCUGAGGAGCCGAUAAAGUCCCGAGUGAACGUGCGAGCAUGGCCACGGCAAGACCCAAUGCCUCAGACUCACGGGAGUGACAUGUGGAUGUUGACAGUGUGUGCAGAAAAUGCCCAUGGUGGCUUCCUCCUCCCUGGUGUUUACAGCCUGAGAGUGCUCCCCUACAGAAAUGCCCACCGAGACUAGUUAAACCCGUGACCUUCUUGAGUUGUACACAACAAACUCACCUCCUCAACUCAGACAAAUGAACUGAUGAGCUCCGCCUAUAACUAGUGCAUCUCCAUUGGCGUGCAAGACCCUCCUGACCCCAGCUUUCCUGUGUCUUCAUCUGUGUGUCUGUCUGCCUUUUCUUUAUUCCCUGCUGUCCCAGCUAGGCCAUUCCCUAAGCUGUGCAGGUCACGAGUUGCACACCUGCU